GACGAAGGGGGCAAGCGUUGUUCGGAAUUACUGGGCGUAAAGGGCGCGUAGGCGGCCCGAUAAGUCAGACGUGAAAGCCCUGGGCUCAACCUGGGAAUUGCGUUUGGGACUGUUGGGCUUGAGAGCGGGAGAGGGUAGUGGAAUUCCCAGUGUAGAGGUGAAAUUCGUAGAUAUUGGGAAGAACACCGGUGGCGAAGGCGGCUACCUGGACCGUAUCUGACGCUGAGGCGCGAAAGCGUGGGGAGCAAACAGG
rnacentral:rRNA from 1 species